rnacentral:rRNA from 1 species
AGAGUUUGAUCCUGGCUCAGGAUGAACGCUAGCGGCAGGCUUAAUACAUGCAAGUCGAGGGGCAGCACGGGUAGCAAUACCUGGUGGCGACCGGCAAACGGGUGCGGAACACGUACGCAACCUUCCCAUAACUGGUGAAUAGCCUUCCGAAAGGGAGAUUAAUACACCGUAACAUAACGAAAAGGCAUCUUUUUGUUAUUAUAGGCUUCGGCCGGUUUUGGAUGGGCGUGCGCCUGAUUAGGUAGUUGACGGGUAACGGCCCACCAAGCCUGCGAUCAGUAACUGGUGUGAGAGCACGACCAGUCACACGGGCACUGAGACACGGGCCCGACUCCUACGGGAGGCAGCAGUAAGGAAUAUUGGUCAAUGGACGAAAGUCUGAACCAGCCAUGCCGCGUGAAGGAUUAAGGCCCUCUGGGUUGUAAACUUCUUUUAUCUGGGACGAAAAAAGGGCUUUCUAGCUCACUUGACGGUACCAGAGGAAUAAGCACCGGCUAACUCCGUG